CAUAGUACCCUGUAGCUUUUCAUAGGAAAAACUAGCAGAGCGUGCCUGGCACUUGCAACAUAAAGGUUCUGGGGAGUGGCUGCAGUGAUGCGGCUGUAGAGUCAAAAUCUGCUUGAGGGAAAAUCCCUGAUUAUGCAGAGCAGAUGAGCUUUGGGUUACAUUUUUCCUGGUGCAUGAAUGGGCCACAUGUUUCUAUUUAAGUAGUAUUCCAGCCUGCCUUGUUAAUAUCUUUGUGAAGUGUUUCGUGCCAACACUAAAAAUAUUCUGAUUUUAGGGUACCCAGUUCACACAUUUCACCCAUAAGGAAAUGAAGAUAUCCCUUUCUAGAUUUUUAUAUAAACAGUUUAAGGAAAAGUAUCCGAUAGAAACCAGUGUUUUCAAGAAUUCAACAGUGUCCUUAAAGUUCCCAAGUUACUUUACAAUUUUUUUUUCAUUCUUUAGGCACCAAUAGCCCAAAUGAAUUAAGAACUAUUUCCUACAUAACUUUCUAUUUUCCUCUUUUAACACUUUUAAAAAGGACUAUUUUCAGAAGGACAAUUAUUUUGUACUUUGUGAGAAAAUUUCCAAGGUGUUUAUAUUGUUUUAUGUGUCUGUCAUAGGAAGGAAAAUCACCUCGGCAGUGUUUGAAGGAAGGAUACUGCAACUCUUUGAAGUACGCAUUUUUUGAGUGUAAAAGAUCAGUGUUGGAUAACAGGGCAAGAUUCAGAGGAAGAAAAGGAUAUUGAUGCAUUAUGUUGAAGCCAACAUGGAAAACAACAAAUAUUUUCCCUGGUCAUUAACACAAAGAAGCCAAAACAGGAAACAUACUUUUUACUACAUCUGUUUGGUUGGACCAGAUUUCCCCUCCGUGGAACACUGAAGAAAGUGGAUGAGUUGUUUUCGAAUAUGUAUAAAGUAAAUGAUUCUCUUGAUCCAAGUUAUUUUUAGAAGAAAAACCUAAUUGAACAGGUAUGGGUUG
rnacentral:sRNA from 1 species